GCGGGCAUAGUUUAAUGGUAAAGCAGGAGUCUUCCAUACUAAAGAUGGGGGUUCGAUUCCCCCUGCCCGCU
rnacentral:tRNA from 1 species